rnacentral:tmRNA from 1 species
AGCAAUCCAAUUGUAAAGGUUUUGUGGUAUAAACAAAGCCGUCGGUUCGCCGACUAUAGUGAUAAACGCUGUACAGAAUAAGCAGGACGGACCCGGGGGCGGUACCCGGCGCCUCCACCAUAUAGGUUGGUUCAGGAAUUGAACUGUUGCAGUCGCGGUUGCGCCCAUUCUUUUUUAUGGGCGCAGAGCAGUCGCAACCAGCCUAUAUAAAUGGGGGCGAACUAGGAUCGACGUAUGUAGUAAAAGUGCAGUUUUUGCUCGGCAUGGUUCCGCCGUUAUCGGGCUAACAACUACGGAUGCCAACGACAACGUUGCUCCUCAAGCUGAUGUAGCUAUUGCUGCUUAACCCUUUGGGGUUCGGUAGUUGAGCGAAAAGCUUAGCGGUCCGGGGGGCACCGGGCAACAGAAGCCCCCCACU